GAAAAGCAGAGGGUUUGUUAAACAGAUGAUAGUAUAAAAAAUAAAAUUAGGUAAUCAGUCAGUUAAAAUGAAACAAUAAUUAAAUUAAUGAUUAAAUUUCAUUUAAACAGAUCUGGUUAAAUAAAAACCAAAUUAAAUGAGCAUAAGAGAUACUUAAAAGAGGAUACUAAAACAAGGGGGGAACAAAAGGAUUAAAAGAGAAAGGGGUAGGGAAGAUAAGAGAGGAGACAACAGCACACUAGGUUAGCUUAAAAUACUUAGCAAGCACUUACAGUGCAGUAGAAAACAAUAAGGCUCCGUGAUAAUCCUGUAUUACCAAAACAGGGGGACACGUGUGUAAAAAAAAUCAGGAUUCAAAAAUAUCCUUGCAGGGCAAUCAUAAAUAGAAAAUAAAAGAUAUAAAAUAAAUAAAUAAUAAAAAGUCCUUCAGGGUGGGGAAUCCAUCCAAACAGGGGAUGAGUUUUGUUUAAAAUAGUUGAGGUUUGUGUCGAUGCUUGGAUUAGCUGGGGAGAGUUGUGUAGAGUCUUCAAACGUGAUGUUGUAUAAUCUUCUGUGUGCGCACACUCUUUUUCCUGUAGGUUAGUAGACAACACUCACCCAUUUGCUGAUCCAGGCCUGAGACCAGAUCCAGUAGGCCUCAAGCCUCAGUCCUCUGGUUAGACCCUGUUUGUUGAGAAAACCUGUCUGAAGUUAGUCUCUCUCAGAGGAUUAAAGGAAAGAAGGUCCCAACGUUUCGCCUGGAAGGCUUCUUCAGGGGAGCAAGAAGAGAGUGAAGGAUCCAGGCCUCUAUAUUCAUAUAGAUCAAGUCCAUGAGGGUGGAUCCUAGAAAUAAAAGGUUCCAUAUUGGCUCAUGGAGAAAAAGCAGAUUGAUAAAUGGUCCGGAGCUGGUUCAGUGAGAGGAGAGUACAAGUUUUGAAAGGAUAUGAAGGUAAGUAAAGGGAGGGGACAAGGAGGGGUGAGGAAAACACAGCCUAUUAGGACAGGGAGUAUUAUUUGUGAAAAUGUUGAAUUUUUAUAUAUCCCUGAUAUUUUUUUUUCAAUCACAUCAAUAGGUUGUGUUAGGGAUCCUCAACUCUGGAGAUCCUGUUGGACCUGGAUUGGGGGCUCUUCCUCCUGAAAACCGGGAGGGGGGGGGUUUAUAGCUUUACUAGUUAGAGUUGGGUCCUCCAACAUAGUAAUAGGAUUAGGU